CCAUGCAGUCGGGCGGUAGCACAGGGAGCUUGCUCCUGGGUGACGAGCGGCGGACGGGUGAGUAAUGUCUGGGAAACUGCCUGAUGGAGGGGGAUAACUACUGGAAACGGUAGCUAAUACCGCAUAACGUCUUCGGACCAAAGAGGGGGACCUUCGGGCCUCUUGCCAUCAGAUGUGCCCAGAUGGGAUUAGCUAGUAGGUGGGGUAAUGGCUCACCUAGGCGACAAUCCCUAGCUGGUCUGAGAGGAUGACCAGCCACACUGGAACUGAGACACGGUCCAGACUCCUACGGGAGGCAGCAGUGGGGAAUAUUGCACAAUGGGCGCAAGCCUGAUGCAGCCAUGCCGCGUGUAUGAAAAAAGCCUUCGGGUUGUAAAGUACUUUCAGCGAGGAGGAAGGCGUUGUGGUUAAUAACCGCACCGAUUGACGUUACUCGCAGAAAAAACACCGGCUAACUCCGUGCCAGCAGCCGCGGUAAUACGGAGGGUGCAAGCGUUAAUCGGAAUUACUGGGCGUAAAGCGCACGCAGGCGGUUUGUUAAGUCAGAUG
rnacentral:rRNA from 1 species